GGGGCGAGAGCCUGGGAAGCUCAAGAACGUUUAACCCUUCCCUGCCCAGAGAAAACCCGAAUCCUGGCUUCCCAUCCUUCCCUGGCCUCACCCAGAGAAAACCCAGCGCAACCCCCAGCCCUUCUCCACACCACCCCCGUCUCACUUCUGUCCUUGGGUGGGGCCACCCUUGUCUCUGCCGAACACCCUGGGGCCAUCCCUCGCCCCACCCUGCAGCUAAUCCAGGAUUAGCCAGUCCUGAUCUCUAAAGGCUUCUACCAGAACUGUCCCCUUUCUAUUUCUUUCCAGAAACCACUCCUGCUGGCUGUUUACAAGGUGCCUACAAGUUGUGUCCCAGCAGGGUCCCGGCAGGCAGGAGGACACCUGAGUCCCAGUCCAGGGGCCGCCACUGACUGGACCGUCCGACCCACGCCUGCCCCUCUCCUGGGCAAGGAUCAGACAGUGCCCAGGCCACCAGCUUAGACGGUGCAACAGUCCAUGGGGUCACAAAGAGUUGGACAUGACUGAGCGACUGAACUGAACUGAGGCCACCAGUGGCAAGUUGGAGGAGCUGGAAUGUGGGGUGGGUCUCUGUGGGCCAGCAGACAGGCUCUGAGCGACUCUGCAUUCCAAAGUUUUGGGGACAGCAGGAGUACCUCCUGGACACUUGGCAAGUGCCACAAACUGUUCGUUAGCAGGAGCUGUUCUGGGUGGAAUGUGAAGAGGCUAGUGUGCAUUAUUUCUGAGGAUUACAUCUGAUGACACGGCGCGGAAAACACAAAUGGACAAAUGGACAUAAUCGUGAAGACGAGAGACGCGAGAACGUGCCUUAGUGUCCAAGUGAUCGAUCGAAGGUGGCGGGGACCCUGGAGACUGAUCUCAAUGAAGUGAGCUGGCUUUCCCGCCACCAGGCGCUGCGUGGGCUGGGCGCCUGGGACAGAAACCUAUCCAGAACCUGGAGGGCCUGUCUACCCUGGUGGCGACCCUGCCUCUAGGUGUCCCGUGCUGAAGGACGGGGUGGCACGUCACCAGGUGGGGACAGGGCUGACGUCAGCCGCUGAGGCUAGUGGUGGCACUGGGCUAACUCAUGACACACGAGGUGCGAAAGCAGAGUCCGGGUGAGGCGGCUCCUCUGGGCUCCUAACACUGCCACAAAGUCGGGGCAGGGAGGACGGAGGGUGCAGCGGGGAGGGGGUGGGGGCGGAGCACCGUUCAUCUGGGGAUGAGCCAACCCGAGUCCCCUCCCUUCUUGGCAGCUCCGGAACAUUCCCUUUGGCCAACAGCCACAGAA
rnacentral:lncRNA from 1 species